rnacentral:sRNA from 1 species
ACAUAGCCCCGAUAGGAACGGCAUCCUUUUUUGUAAUUGUGAUGCUAACGUGGAUCAAAGGAUUUUCUGCCGUUCGCAAUUACAAAAAAGAUAUAGUGGAUAGCGGGUUGGAAA